UGGACGCUAUGAACUGCAACUAUUAGGAGCGUCUCAUGGCAAAACUACUCGAGCCGCAGCUGAAUAUAUGACAGCGUGGCACGGGGAGUGGACGCCGGAAUCGUGUGCUGCGUUUUUCAACACGGAUGAUAUGAAUGAUCCGGAAUUUUUGCAAGUUGAAAAUCCUGCAAUAGCGGAAACUAUGGAUAACCAUAGUCUUGAGGUGAACGUGGACGUUCACCUGUCAGGAGAGGCCGUAUAAGCAAAAUUGAAGGUAGAAGUGGGAGACAGGAGGCGUGGCUUGGUCGUCGUUCGAUGUUUUGAAAUACUGAAGUGGCAACAAUAGCAAGGAGGGUAGCAAGCACACCGC
rnacentral:misc_RNA from 1 species